GUCUGGAUACGGGGCUGGUGAGGGAUAUGGUGCUGGUGGUCGAGGAGGAGGAGGAGGAGGAGGUGGAGGCGGAGGUGGUGGCGGUGGCGGAGGCGGUGGUAGUGGAAGUGGGUCAGGUUCUGGCUAUGGGUCCGGUAGCGGCUCAGGCUAUGGUUCUGGUGGGGGGAUAGGUGCUGGUGAAGGUGGAGGUGGCGGCGGAGGCAGUGGAGGCGGAGGUGGUGGAGGCCACGGCGGUGGAUACGGAAGCGGGUCAGGCUAUGGAAGCGGGUCGGGCUAUGGAAGUGGAAGUGGCGGUGGCAGGGGCAGGAAAUGGCAAAAGCUUGCCGUGAACAUUAAGGUUACCUUUUCUUUUAUAUAACACCAUUCACAGUGGUAUUCCAAAAUAAAAUUGCAGGAGCUCUCCCACAUGCAUGAACAUGGCAUGUUGGCGAGUGAUUGCACCUGUGCAUGCGUGUAUCGCUAUCAAUAAAGUCACCUUUGCAAAUGCUAUAAAUAAAAGAAAUUUAAUUACCCUGUAUAUUUUAUAGAUAA